AUGGCAACCCACAACUCCACUGGUAGCAGCCACUCACUCUUCAUUCUGCUGGGCAUUCCUGGCUUAGAAGACCAGCACACAUGGAUCUCUCUCUCCUUCUUUAUUUCCUACCUUGUUGCUUUCCUUGGGAACAGCCUCAUCAUCUUCAUCAUCAUCACUGAAUGCAGCCUCCACGAACCCAUGUACCUUUUCCUCUGCAUGCUGGCUGUGGCUGACCUCAUCCUGUCUACUACCACUGUGCCCAAGGCCCUAGCCAUAUUCUGGUUCUAUGCUGGAGCAAUAUCCCUUGAUGGCUGUGUUACCCAAAUCUUCUUUAUCCAUGCUACCUUCAUCACGGAAUCAGGAAUUCUGUUGGUGAUGGCACUUGACCGCUCUGUGGCCAUCUGUGAUCCACUGCACUAUACCACAGUGCUCAGUCGUGCAACAAUCAUAAAGAUUGGCUCGGCUGUGGUCCUGAGAAGCUUCUGUGUGAUAAUCCCAGAUGUGUUUCUGGUAAAGCGGCUGGCUUUCUGCCAUAGCAAUCUGCUGCCACAUACCUACUGUGAGCACAUGGCUGUUGCCAAGUUUGCUUGUGCUGAUAUUCGUGUCAAUGUUUGGUAUGGCUUGUCUGUCCUUCUCUCUACUGUAGUGCUAGAUGCCUUGCUUAUCUUAGUGUCCUAUAGCUUCAUCCUCUAUACAGUCUUCCACCUCCCCUCCCAAGGAGCUCAGCAAAAGGCUCUGGGCACAUGUGGCUCCCACUUCAGAGUCAUUUCCGUGUUCUACUUGCCUGGUAUUUUUACCAUAAUUACCCAGCGGUUUGGGCACCAUGUUCCUCUCCAUACACACAUUCUGCUGGCUAAUGUCUGCAUGUUGGCUCCUCCCAUGCUGAACCCCAUCAUUUAUGGGAUCAAGACCAGGCAGAUUCAAGAGCAUGUGCUCAGUCUUUUG
rnacentral:sRNA from 1 species